AUCUUUUGUUUUUUCUCUUUUGGCUUCCACUUUAGUCUACUAUACUAUGAACACUGAAGUUCUUAACCCUUAAUUGAUCUCAACCCUUAACACUUGAAGAGUUUGAUAUUCCAACAACAACAAAAUCAGCAGCAACAACAAGUGGUACAAUAACUGAAAUUGGAACCUUCAUGACUCCACCACCAACAUCAUCUGACACUUCUACACAGCCACCAUCAAAGAAAAAGAGAAACCUUCCCGGCAACCCAGGCCCACAGAGCCGUUAGGAUGGUGGGCCGGCGACAUUAUAUUGGGCGGAAGGGAUGAGCUCGGCGGUGGCACAUGGUUGGGCUCCACCAGAGAUGGAACGGUGGCUUUCCUCACCAAUUUUAGGGAAGUUGAAAGCCUUCUGGAACCCAAGACCAGGGGAGACUUGACCAUCCGAUUCCUUCAGGUCACACACUCCAUCUGUUUGUUACUUUGUUUCUUAAGAUCUUGUUGCUUUGCAAAUUCAUGUGACUAUUUUCAUAUGGUACCAAUUUCAAAUAUAAUCUAAUAACUUCAUUUAUAUAUCUUACGCAAAUUGAGAAAAUGUUAGUGAUUUAGUUCAUGAGUGCAAGAAGAAGCCGAGAAAAAUAGAGCUUGCGAGAAAUAAUUCUCUUAGAU